rnacentral:rRNA from 1 species
UUGGAGAGACGCAGGAAGGUAGCCGAACCGCGGCGAUGGUUGUUCCGCGGGUAAGGGUGUAGGGCGAGGUGUAGGCAGAUCCGCACCUCAUGUGCCUGAGACCUGACACGGACCCGUAAGGGGAAGUCGGUGAUCCUAUGCUGCCAAGAAAAUCUUCUAGCGAGGUUCUAGCCGCCCGUACCCCAAACCGACUCAGGUGGUUAGGUAGAGAAUACCAAGGCGAUCGAGUGAAUCGUGGUUAAGGAAUUCGGCAAAAUACCCCCGUAACUUCGGGAGAAGGGGGGCCCAGAGGGUGACGGGACUUGCUCCCCGAGCCUGAACGGCCGCAGAGACCAGGGAGAAGCGACUGUUUACUAAAAACACAGGUCCGUGCCAAGUCGCAAGACGAUGUAUACGGACUGACGCCUGCCCGGUGCUGGAACGUUAAGGGGACCGGUUAGCCUCACGGCGAAGCUGAGAACUUAAGCGCCAGUAAACGGCGGUGGUAACUAUAACCAUCCUAAGGUAGCGAAAUUCCUUGUCGGGUAAGUUCCGACCUGCACGAAUGGCGUAACGACUUCUCCACUGUCUCAACCACGAACUCGGCGAAAUUGCACUACGAGUAAAGAUGCUCGUUACGCGCAGAAGGACGGAAAGACCCCGGGACCUUUACUACAGCUUGGUAUUGGUGUUCGGUACGGCUUGUGUAGGAUAGGUGGGAGACUGUGAAGCUGACACGCCAGUGUCGGUGGAGUCAACGUUGAAAUACCACUCUGGUCGUUCUGGAUAUCUAACCUAGGUCCGUAAUCCGGAUCAGGGACAGUGCCUGGUGGGUAGUUUAACUGGGGCGGUUGCCUCCUAAAAGGUAACGGAGGCGCCCAAAGGUUCCCUCAGCCUGGUUGGCAAUCAGGUUUCGAGUGUAAGUGCACAAGGGAGCUUGACUGUGAGACUGACAAGUCGAACAGGGACGAAAGUCGGGACUAGUGAUCCGGCGGUGGCUUGUGGAAGCGCCGUCGCUCAACGGAUAAAAGGUACCCCGGGGAUAACAGGCUGAUCUUGCCCAAGAGUCCAUAUCGACGGCAUGGUUUGGCACCUCGAUGUCGGCUCGUCGCAUCCUGGGGCUGGAGUAGGUCCCAAGGGUUGGGCUGUUCGCCCAUUAAAGCGGUACGCGAGCUGGGUUUAGAACGUCGUGAGACAGUUCGGUCCCUAUCCUCUGCGCGCGCAGGAAACUUGAGAAGGGCUGUCCCUUACGAGAGGACCGGGAUGGACGAACCUCUGGUGUGUCAGUUGUUCUGCCAAGAGCACCGCUGAUUAGCUACGUUCGGGAGUGAUAACCGCUGAAAGCAUCUAAGCGGGAAGCAUGCUUCAAGAUGAGGUUUCCAUGGGGUUUACCCCGAGAGGCUCCCAGCUAGACUACUGGGUUGAUAGGCCGGAUGUGGAAGUGCGGUAACGCAUGGAGCUGACCGGUACUAAUAAGCCGAUAACUUGAC